GAGAGUUGCUUUUGCGCGCGAACUGUAAGUGCCAGGGUCUCAGGGUCAGGUCGCGGCUGGUCACUGUGCAGGCGCUUGGGUGACGCGACGAUCUCAGCGGAUCUGGUCACCUUCGUCUCCCCGCCAUGGAGACCUCAGCACUCAAGCAGCAGGAGCAGCCCGCGGCGACCAAGAUCAGGAACCUGCCCUGGGUUGAAAAAUACCGGCCACAGACCCUGAAUGAUCUCAUUUCUCAUCAGGACAUUCUGAGUACCAUUCAGAAGUUUAUCAAUGAAGACCGACUGCCACACUUGCUUCUCUACGGUCCCCCAGGGACAGGCAAGACAUCUACCAUCCUAGCCUGUGCGAAACAGCUAUAUAAAGACAAAGAAUUUGGCUCCAUGGUCUUGGAGCUGAAUGCUUCAGAUGACCGAGGAAUAGACAUCAUUCGAGGACCGAUCCUGAGCUUUGCUAGCACAAGGACAAUAUUUAAGAAAGGCUUUAAGCUAGUGAUCUUGGAUGAAGCAGACGCCAUGACUCAGGACGCCCAGAAUGCCUUGAGAAGAGUAAUUGAGAAAUUCACAGAAAAUACCAGAUUCUGCCUCAUCUGUAACUAUCUGUCAAAGAUCAUCCCUGCCUUGCAGUCCCGCUGCACGAGGUUUCGGUUCGGUCCCCUGACUCCUGAACUCAUGGUUCCCCGCCUGGAACAUGUCGUGGAAGAAGAGAAAGUUGAUAUAAGUGAAGAUGGAAUGAAAGCACUAGUCACUCUUUCCAGUGGAGACAUGCGUAGGGCUCUGAACAUUUUGCAGAGCACCAAUAUGGCCUUUGGGAAGGUGACAGAGGAGACUGUCUACACCUGCACCGGGCACCCGCUCAAGUCAGACAUUGCCAACAUCCUGGACUGGAUGUUGAAUCAAGAUUUCACCACAGCCUACAGAAAUAUUACAGAGUUGAAAACUCUGAAGGGGUUGGCACUGCAUGAUAUCCUGACAGAGAUACACUUGUUUGUGCAUAGAGUUGACUUUCCAUCUUCAGUUCGAAUACAUUUAUUGACCAAAAUGGCAGACAUUGAGUACAGGCUUUCUGUUGGCACCAACGAGAAGAUCCAGCUGAGCUCCCUCAUUGCUGCAUUUCAAGUCACCAGAGACCUGAUUGUUGCAGAGGCCUAGAUGCUCUGAGGGCCAUUCACAAUUCUCAGGGCUCAGCAGUGAUGGGAGAACAGAGGACAGUUCCAGGAUAAACUGCUGCCUGGGGCUGUGGGAUGAAUCAGUCACCCCGAAUCUUGGAAAAACCCCCUUCCAGGAGAGGAUGGGCAGGCAUUUAAAAAGUACCAUUUUUGUGGUUGUUUGGAGCAGGGAUGUACAAAAUAAUUUUAAUGUAUUAACUCAUACUGCCUGUCUUUUAUAGGGGAAAAAAAUAACCUUUUUUAUUUUAAAGUUAUAAGGUUUUUACCUUUUAGUUGCUUGGAUGACAGGGAAUUAGCCUACCCCAUUUUGGUCUGGAACAGAAGACUUUCAAAUUUAAUAUGGUCCAAGUGUCUUCCUACUCAAGGCAAGAUCAUGCUCUGUCAGUCACCCAGGCUGGAAUACCGUGACACGAUCGUGGCUCGCUACAGCCUCCAUGUCCCAGGCUCGAGCAGUUCUCCCACCUCAGCCUCCUGAGUAGCCGGAACCACAGAACCACAGGAUUUCAGGACAAAGUUCAACAAGUAACUGCACUGACAUGAUUUGAAUGGGAAAUCCGAAUUAGAGGGAUUCAAAUUUGAUGGUUCAAAGGAAAUUUGGAUUCACAUGUGGGCUGCAACUUUUAAAAUCUUAGACUCCAAGAAGAAAAGAAAUUUAAAAAGCAAUUGUUUUCCCAUUUUAUAAAGGGAAACAGCCCUCUGAUGACAGGAGCAACCUGUUUCCAAAUCCCUCCUGUCUUUGGGUUCGUGUUAAAGUGCAAGUCACAAGGGACUUUUGCAGGUGGUGGCCAUGGCCCACCAGCAUGCCUUCUAUUGGGGUGGAUUUGCGGACGAUUUUGAGAACACUCACACACACCAGGCCACCACUUCAGACCUCCAUGUCUCAGUGAAUUAAAGCAAUAACGCUGGAGACUCACCGACUUCUCUCCAGCUGCAGAGCACAGCAUGCUGCAGUCUGGGGAGAUGGAACAGCAGUAAACCCACUGCAGGUGGCCCGAUAACACUUGAAUCUGUUUACCUGGCAGGAAAAAGAAGCAAACAAUGAGCCAGUCCUCAACAAAGCAGGAAGACUGGAGAACGGGAGAACUGGGGUGGUAACAGCCCCCAGCCCAGUAUACCCAUCAGCUCCUAUCAGCUGGGCCCAAGGGUCCAAUUUUUAAUUCAGAGUAAGAAAUAUGACCAGAUUUGUCAUUUAAACACCUGUAAUCUAUGAAUAUGAUAUUCUAAUUCCCCACGGAAACCAGUACCUAUGGCUUCAACACAAUCUAUAAGAUCAGUAAGGGUGAAGGGGUACAUUGAUCACUUUUUUGUUGUUUGUUUCUGAGAUGGAGUCUUGCUCUUGCUCUGUCUCCCAGACUAGAAUACAGUGGCGCGAUCUCAGCUCACUGCAACCUCUGCCUCCCAAGUUGAAGCGAUUCUCCUGCCUCAGCCUCCUGAGUAGCUGGGAUUACAGGGAUGUGCCACUGCGCCCAGCUCAUUUUUGUACUUUUAGUAGAGACAGGGUUUCACCAUAUUGGCCAGGCUGGUCUCGGACACCUGACCUCAGGUGCUGAUCACUUUUUUUAUAUAAUCUUGAAUUGCAUUAAAGGUUUCCUCAUAGGAAACCAUAUCAAAGGGACCUUUGAUAGCAGAGAAUGUUCUUUUUAGGCUCCCCAACCACCUCAAGUACCCUGAAGCAUCAUUCCCAAUUUUAAGAGAGUGUUUAUCUUCAUUUAAACUCUGUAAUGGUUUCUCUGUAAUCACAAGGAUCCUGCUCCAGACUGUCACCCUCCCAGCCUUGCCAGGAUGUCCAGAUGAGCAGUGGUGUGGAGUCACUAGGGGCACACAUUCUAGAGUCAGACAGCUUGGGUUUGAAUCCUGACUCCCCUGCUAAUUCAGCAGAUAACCCAGGGUGUCUCACACAAUCUCUCCAGCUCUUGCUUUAAAAAUAAAAAAGCCCGUCCAUAUAGAGGAUGGGUGAAUAAAUGGUGGUAUAUCUACCCCAUUAAUGCAGUUGGAAUUAGAGAGAGAUUUUCCAUGGGGUACCUACAGUUUAAUGAAAAAUGCGAGAUGCAGGGAAAAAUCGUGAAGAUGUAUGAUUCCAUUUUUGUCAAACAAUGACCCAAAAGCCAUGAAUGCAAACGUGUGUGCACAGGAUUAUACAAGUAGACAGAAAAAUAUGGAAGGGUAUAUACUCCUAACACAGGGUACCAGGAUGCAGGGGAAGAAGGGAGGAUGGCAACAGCAGGGAGGGCAAGAGAGAGAAUUGGGAAGGAAAGAGCCAAGCAAGAAAGAAGAAAAAAUAAUUGUUAUACGCCUGUACAUGGUCAUAUAUAUGAAUUUAUUUAAGUUUAUGCGGAUGUAUGGAUCCACAAAAAUUAAUAUUUCUUUUUUAUUUUUUUUUAUUUUUUUGAGACAGAGUCUUGUUCUGUUGCCUAGGUGGGAGUGCAAUGGCAUGAUCCCGGCUCACUGCAACCUCUGCCUCCUGGGUUCAAGCGAUUCUCCUGCCUCAGCCUCCCGAGUAGCUGGGAUUACAGGUAUCUGCCACCAUGCCCUGCUAAUUUUUACAUAUUUUUAGUAGAGCCGGAGUUUCACCAUGUUGGCUAGGCUGGUCUCGAACUCCUGACCUCGAGUGAUCCGCCCGCCUUGGCCUCCCAAAGUGCUUUAAUUAAUAUUUUUAAAAAGUUAGUCAUGGUGCCUGUAGUCCCAGCUACUCCAGAGACUGAGGCAGGAGGAUCACUGGAGCCCAGGAGGCAGAGGCUACAAUAAGCCGAGAUCGCAGCAUUGCACUCCAGCCCAUGCAACACAGUGAGACUCUGUCUCAAAAAAUAAAGGUCAAUCAUGGUUUCUUCAGCUGUCAAAUCUCAGGGUGCUGGGAGUACUGAAUAAAUUAAGGCAUGUUAGGUCAGUGGGGCAGCGCCUGUCAGCUGGGAACCAACUUUAUUCCCCUCCUCUCCUUGAAAAGCUCUCAUAAUUGGCCUACUCCAUCCCGCCCACUCUUGGUCACUCUCACUUGGUCUUUCCUUCCAAGUCAUCAAGUGAUUUCCAGAGCCACUGCAUGGACCUUCCUGAGAUGGUGGCAAGCUGCCUCAGUACACACAUUAAGCCAGCAUUUAAAAAGGCACUGCCAGCCGAGCGUGGUACCUCAUACCUGUAAUCCCAGCACUUUGGGAGGCCGAGGUGGGCAGAUCCCUUCAGGUCAGGAGUGCAAGACCAGCCUGACCUUCAUGGCAAAACCCCGUCUCUACUAAAAAUACGAAAAUUAGCCAGGCAUGGUGGCACACACCUGGAGGAGGCUCUGUCUCAAAAAAAAAAAAAAAAGAGGCACUGCCUUGGAGAAGCUGUCCUGAUCAGCAGCACAUCUUAGACUGUGGGAUUACAGGUUCCACAGUACUGGGCAGAAACCACCUAGAGUAGGCCAGGCGCAGUGGCUCACGCCUGUAAUCCCAGCACUUUAGGAAGCCCAGGUAGGCAGAUCACUUGAGGUCAGGAGUUUGAGACCAGCCUGGCCAACGUGGUGAAACCCUGUCUCUACUAAAAAUACAAAACAUUAGCCAGGUAUGGUGGCUUACGCCUGUAGUCCCAGCUACUUGGGAGGCUGAGACACAAGAAUGACUUGAACCUGGGAGGCGGAGGUUGCAGUGAGCUGAGAUCGUGCCACUGCACUCCAGCCUGGGUGACACAGUGAGACUCCGUCUCAAGAAAAAACAAACAAACCAAAAAAACACCUAGAGUUAUCUUGGUGAUCAGAUGCCUUCAGAUGAGGAUGCAUGUGCACUGCCUUAGUUUGUCUGACAAGUUGCUAUGGACUAAAUGUGCCCCCCACACAUAAAGCCCUAAUCCCCAAUGUGAUGGUAUUAGGAGGCGGGGCUUUUGAGAAGUCAAUAGGUCAUGAGGGUGAAGCCUCAGGAAUGGGAUUAGUGCCCUUAGAAGAAGAGACAUGAAAGAGAGAGAUCCCUGCCAGAUGAGGAUGCAGAGAGAAGGUGGCUGUUUACAAGCCAGGCAGCAGGUGCUCACAGACACCAAAACUACUAGCACUUCGCUCACGGACUCCCCAACCUUCAGAACUGUGAGAAAUAAAUGUCUGUUGUUUAAGCCA